rnacentral:lncRNA from 1 species
CUUGACCUGUGAAUGUCACAGGGGUUAAGCAAAAAGGUCAUGACCUCUGCAUACCAUCCAAAGGAACAACAGAAAUUGAGAGAAUUCCAGAGCAGAAGCUGAGAGCAGUGCUAAUGCCUUAAAUUUGAUCUCAUCUCUAAGUUAAGCUGAGACAGAUCAAAAAGGGGGAAAUUUUGAAGAAGAAAACCACAGGCCCAAAUGGAGUCACUACUGCUAUGCUGACAUCACCAAACCAGAGCUUAAUACCCAACCUAACCGCAGCCGUAACCUUCCCCAGGAAUGCAGUCUGACCGUCAGUCUAGGAUUCUCUGGUCAGCACCAAUGAGGCAAUGUGCCACAUGGGCCUCUCCAUCCCCCAAAGGAAGAGGAAGUCAUCCACCUAAACAGAACCUUUUGUCCACAGGAGAGCUCUGUUUUCAUCCAGUGUUUGUAUCCUGGGGCCCUACCGAUAUGGUGUCAGCGAUUUCAAAGGGAAAUUGUCCUCUCAUGUGAUGAUGAAAACUGCAACGUUUGGUGGUAAAGGAUCCUUGGACCGUGAACUUUACAACAGGAUCUGAGCACUUAUAUUUCCUCUGCUUUUGGCAGAGAGGAGCUGAGGUGACUGCAGGUGUCUAUUUGAACUUUAUACACUGAGUUAAGACGUGGGUACAUUAGUUUUAUCUGACGGAUGGUCUACUUUACAGACAGCAAUAUGCUUUUCAUGUAUAUCAAAAUGUUUUUCCUCAUUUCCUGGAUGAAGCAGGAGGCAAUUUUUUCUGAUCUUCACUAUGAAGACCACGUUGGGCUGCUGAAGGGAGCAUUCAUGAAUGUGGG